CUCUGGGUCCAACCUCCCACCCGUGUCUAUCGUACCUUGUUGCUUCGGCGGGCCCGCCGUUUCGACGGCCGCCGGGGAGGCCUUGCGCCCCCGGGCCCGCGCCCGCCGAAGACCCCAACAUGAACGCUGUUCUGAAAGUAUGCAGUCUGAGUUGAUUAUCGUAAUCAGUUAAAACUUUCAACAACGGAUCUCUUGGUUCCGGCAUCGAUGAAGAACGCAGCGAAAUGCGAUAAGUAAUGUGAAUUGCAGAAUUCAGUGAAUCAUCGAGUCUUUGAACGCACAUUGCGCCCCCUGGUAUUCCGGGGGGCAUGCCUGUCCGAGCGUCAUUGCUGCCCUCAAGCACGGCUUGUGUGUUGGGCCCCCGUCCCCCUCUCCCGGGGGACGGGCCCGAAAGGCAGCGGCGGCACCGCGUCCGGUCCUCGAGCGUAUGGGGCUUUGUCACCUGCUCUGUAGGCCCGGCCGGCGCCAGCCGACACCCAACUUUAUUUUUCUAAGGUUGACCUCGGAUCAGGUAGGGAUACCCGCUGAACUUAAGCAUAUCA
rnacentral:rRNA from 1 species